rnacentral:rRNA from 1 species
GACGUAGGUGGCGAACGUUUAUCCGGAAUUAUUGGGCGUAAAGGGUGCGUAGGCGGCAUGAUAAGUUAUUGGCGGCAAAUCGAGGCUCAACCUCGUGGAAACUGAUAAUACUGUCUUGCUUGAGUGCAGAAGAGGUUAACGGAACUCCAUGUGGAGCGGUAAAAUGUGUAGAUAUAUGGAAGAACAUCAAUAACGGCGAAGGCAGUUAACUAUUCUGUUACUGACGUUGAGGCACGAAAGCGUGGGGAGCAAAAAGGG